rnacentral:rRNA from 1 species
UACAGAGGGGGCAAGCGUUGUUCGGAAUUACUGGGCGUAAAGGGCGCGUAGGCGGCCAACUAAGUCGAACGUGAAAUCCCCGGGCUCAACCCGGGAACUGCGUCCGAUACUGGUUGGCUUGAAUCCGGGAGAGGGAUGCGGAAUUCCAGGUGUAGCGGUGAAAUGCGUAGAUAUCUGGAGGAACACCGGUGGCGAAGGCGGCAUCCUGGACCGGCAUUGACGCUGAGGCGCGAAAGCCAGGGGAGCAAACGGG